GAUGAACGCUGGCGGCGUGCCUAAUACAUGCAAGUCGAGCGAACGGACGAGAAGCUUGCUUCUCUGAUGUUAGCGGCGGACGGGUGAGUAACACGUGGAUAACCUACCUAUAAGACUGGGAUAACUUCGGGAAACCGGAGCUAAUACCGGAUAAUAUUUUGAACCGCAUGGUUCAAAAGUAAAAGACGGUCUUGCUGUCACUUAUAGAUGGAUCCGCGCUGCAUUAGCUAGUUGGUAAGGUAACGGCUUACCAAGGCAACGAUGCAUAGCCGACCUGAGAGGGUGAUCGGCCACACUGGAACUGAGACACGGUCCAGACUCCUACGGGAGGCAGCAGUAGGGAAUCUUCCGCAAUGGGCGAAAGCCUGACGGAGCAACGCCGCGUGAGUGAUGAAGGUCUUCGGAUCGUAAAACUCUGUUAUUAGGGAAGAAUAUAUGUGUAAGUAACUGUGCACAUCUUGACGGUACCUAAUCAGAAAGCCACGGCUAACUACGUGCCAGCAGCCGCGGUAAUACGUAGGUGGCAAGCGUUAUCCGGAAUUAUUGGGCGUAAAGCGCGCGUAGGCGGUUUUUUAAGUCUGAUGUGAAAGCCCACGGCUCAACCGUGGAGGGUCAUUGGAAACUGGAAAACUUGAGUGCAGAAGAGGAAAGUGGAAUUCCAUGUGUAGCGGUGAAAUGCGCAGAGAUAUGGAGGAACACCAGUGGCGAAGGCGACUUUCUGGUCUGUAACUGACGCUGAUGUGCGAAAGCGUGGGGAUCAAACAGGAUUAGAUACCCUGGCAGUCCACGCCGUAAACGAUGAGUGCUAAGUGUUAGGGGGUUUCCGCCCCUUAGUGCUGCAGCUAACGCAUUAAGCACUCCGCCUGGGGAGUACGACCGCAAGGUUGAAACUCAAAGGAAUUGACGGGGACCCGCACAAGCGGUGGAGCAUGUGGUUUAAUUCGAAGCAACGCGAAGAACCUUACCAAAUCUUGACAUCCUUUGACAACUCUAGAGAUAGAGCCUUCCCCUUCGGGGGACAAAGUGACAGGUGGUGCAUGGUUGUCGUCAGCUCGUGUCGUGAGAUGUUGGGUUAAGUCCCGCAACGAGCGCAACCCUUAAGCUUAGUUGCCAUCAUUAAGUUGGGCACUCUAAGUUGACUGCCGGUGACAAACCGGAGGAAGGUGGGGAUGACGUCAAAUCAUCAUGCCCCUUAUGAUUUGGGCUACACACGUGCUACAAUGGACAAUACAAAGGGCAGCGAAACCGCGAGGUCAAGCAAAUCCCAUAAAGUUGUUCUCAGUUCGGAUUGUAGUCUGCAACUCGACUACAUGAAGCUGGAAUCGCUAGUAAUCGUAGAUCAGCAUGCUACGGUGAAUACGUUCCCGGGUCU
rnacentral:rRNA from 1 species